CUGAAGAUUGUGGUGAUGCUUGGAAACUGUUACUAUUAUCAGAAAAAUUUCUGGUUUCUUGUAGUUGCCUAGUCAUAGGAAAAGUGUUUGGGAAAAAUGGAGAAACUUGUCGCUGAGAAUAUAUAGAGUUUGGUGAAUAGAGAUUUCUUAUUUUCACCUCUUCAUUUUUCAUAUGGGAUUCAAUAUGGGCUAUAAGAGCUUGAGUGGUCAUGAAAACUUGUUUGCAUAAUCUGCAUGCAAUUUGGUUUGUGUUGUUAGGGUGUUGUGCAUAAUUUAACACAUCACGCCUUAGGUUAGAAUAAAGAGAAGACAUGGUUUUGC
rnacentral:lncRNA from 1 species